AUGAAGGCGACCGCGGGGGCCCUCCUCGCCGUGGCGGCGGCGGUGCUGCUGCGCGGCGUGGCAGCAGCGCCGCCCCGGAAGCCGGUGGACGUGCCGUUCGACAAGAACUACGUGCCGACGUGGGCGCAGGACCACAUCCACUACGUGAACGGCGGGCGGGAGGUGCAGCUGUCCCUGGACAAGACCACCGGCACGGGCUUCCAGACCCGGGGCUCCUACCUCUUCGGCCACUUCAGCAUGCACAUCAAGCUCGUCGGCGGCGACUCCGCCGGCACCGUCACCGCCUUCUACCUGUCGUCGCAGAACUCGGAGCACGACGAGAUCGACUUCGAGUUCUUGGGGAACAGAACGGGGCAGCCGUACAUCCUGCAGACCAACGUGUUCUCUGGCGGCAAGGGCGACCGGGAGCAGAGGAUCUACCUCUGGUUCGACCCAACCAAGGACUACCACUCCUACUCCGUCCUCUGGAACCUCUACAUGAUCGCGUUCUUCGUGGACGACACGCCGAUCCGGGUGUUCAAGAACAGCAAGGACCUCGGGGUGCGGUACCCGUUCGACCAGCCCAUGAAGCUCUACUCCAGCCUGUGGAACGCGGACGACUGGGCGACCCGGGGCGGGCGGGAGAAGACGGACUGGUCCAAGGCGCCCUUCGUCGCCUCCUACCGGGGCUUCCACGUCGACGGCUGCGAGGCGUCCGCGGAGGCCAAGUUCUGCGCCACCCAGGGCGCCCGCUGGUGGGACCAGCCCGAGUUCCAGGACCUGGACGCCGCGCAGUACCGCCGCCUCGCCUGGGUCAGGAAGGAGCACACCAUCUACAACUACUGCACCGACCACGACCGCUACGCCGCCAUGGCGCCCGAGUGCAGGCGCGACCGCGACGUCUGA
rnacentral:rRNA from 1 species